rnacentral:rRNA from 1 species
UACGUAGGGUGCAAGCGUUAAUCGGAAUUACUGGGCGUAAAGCGUGCACAGGCGGUUUUGUAAGUCUGACGUGAAAUCCCCGGGCUUAACCUGGGAAUUGCGUUGGAGACUGCAAGGCUGGAGUCUGGCAGAGGGGGGUAGAAUUCCACGUGUAGCAGUGAAAUGCGUAGAGAUGUGGAGGAACACCGAUGGCGAAGGCAGCCCCCUGGGUCAAGACUGACGCUCAUGCACGAAAGCGUGGGGAGCAAACAGG